UCAUCUUCUUCUUUUUUUCAUAUUUUUCUAACCAUCUAUAAUGUUCGGAAUCUCGGUAAGUGCAACGCAUUCGGUUGUUCCGGACCAAUCAAAUCAAACGAAUAGGAAAAAAAUUAGGAGUUUUCAAGGUUUUCUUAUUGGACUGUUAUUGGUUCUAUACAAUAUAUUUAGCUAGAAAAUGACACUCGUUAGAGUAUCUCUCCGUUUAUAACCGAUUUAGUCCAUCAAAUUUUUAAUUUUAAAAUAAAUAUUUGGUGUUAAAAAAAAACUAGGAUUGACAAAGCAUCACCGCGCCGCAACAGUUAGAAAUUAGGUGUUUGAGUCCUUCUUGAGUCAAUAUCCCUAAUUCUUCUAAGUUUCCCUAAGAUGAAGGGUAACACAAUUUUUAAUCUACCAUAUUUUGAUUAGGUUUUUAUACUUUUUUUUGGUUCUUUUCAUUGUUUUUUUUUUUCAAUUAUCGCAUUCAAAUUGGGUGAAUACACAUAGAUUAUUCGAUUUCUCUAUUAAAAAGAAUAAGAUUUUGAGUUUUUAGUAACACACGACUUUUUUAACCAAACACUAUUUCACUGUUUAAUUGGUUAAGAUGUGCGCAUUUUACAAUCAGGCUUAUAUCCUAUUAAAGUUUUUUAUUUCUCAUUCAAUAGAAACUGGUUUUAUAUAUUUUUUCAAAAAAAGAACAAUUUUUUUUCAAAAAAAAAUUCAAUUAAUUUGAAUAUAACGAAAUAUCAGAAAAAGAAAACAUAUAUUUUCUGUCAAUGUUAGUAUGACCUUUUGAAUAAAAGAUAUACAAGUCAAUAUUACCUUUUAACACACAAAACGCGUUGUAAUAAUACCUCUUAAUAUAUAUUAUUACCCUUUAAACAAAUGCUAGAUUUGACCAAAAAUGCUAUAUUUUUUCCUUUCAAUUUUAUUAUUAAUUUAUUAUCUUUUAACACAAAAUAAAUACGCUGUAAUAAUACCUGUUAAUAAUAUUAACUUUUAAAAAAAAAACACUAGCUAGAUUUGUACUCAAGAAUAUGCUAGAUCUUUUCCGUCAUUUUUAUUAUUACCUUUAAACACAAAAUACACACAUGACAAUUAAAAACUAUUUUUUAAAUUGAUAAUAUUUGAUUUUUUGUAAGGUUAAAAAAGGUUAGAAAAUAUUUGUUUAGGAAGAAAAAAACGCAUAUUUGACUGUGAAUGUAUACAUGUGUACAUUUCGAAGAUAUGAUUUUUGUAUGGAGCAAUGAGGGAGUAACAAAUGUCAAACAUGAUAAGAUGCAGUUUGACUGUAACAAAAUAUCCUUAUAUAUAUAUGGGCAUUAAGCAAUACCAUCAACCACAAAAAAAUUACAAGACAGGUAAAAAAAAUAAAGAGAGGAGAAUCUAUGGAGAUGGGUGCAGGUAGCAGUUCUAGCGCCAGGCCAAAGAGGAAGAAGGGUAUAAGAAAAACGGAGGUCAUCAGUUAUGAACAAAGCGUGGUGCAAUUGUCGAAAGAAGGGAGAAAGACAUAUAUGAUUGUGGAGAAAAAACGUAAAAGGCCAUUGAACACAAUUCGUGGAGCUUACUCAGCCGUCUUUGAUAACACAUAUCCUCAAUACAACUGGCUUUACAAUGGCUGGCUCGUCGAGGAGCGUCGCAUCAUGUUGUCAGGCCGACUUUACCGGUACUAUUACGAUCCAAAGGGGAAAGAGUACAAAUUCAGGUACCUAGUGGAGCAGGUUCUCACAAGCAUUGGAAAGCAUCUGGCUAUUAAGAAGCCAGUGGUCAUCGUCCUCGACGACUAAUGAUCUGCUCUUUGCGAAUGCUCUUUUGUACCUUGGACAAAAGGAAAUUUACCUGUCUUAAAUUUGUGUUUUUAAUUUGAGGACCACAAUAUUUAAGAUUUCUUGGAUGUUAUUUGAUUAAGGAUUCAUUGAGUUGUUAUUUCAAUUAUUUGCAAAAACUGAUUUUAAGUGACAAGUUUAAACAUCUUAUUCAAGAACACCAUAUCAGUUCCAUAUAUUUCUAUAAUCAUUUUACAUAAACAUUCUAAAACCAAUUUGUGAACAUGUUUUCGAUUGUUCUUGACGUAGUGUAAUUCAUACGUCCAACACAUGGAAACAUAUGUCAGUCAUCUGCAUCGAAAUUUGAUUUUGUUGAGUGAAGUUUUUUUUGCUUAUAUUUUGUGUAGUAAAGAUGAUUGAUAUAUACAUACAUAUAUAUAAUAUAUGGUGGAUCCAGUAUGUAUUCGCUUUAUAUAUAGAUAGAUAUAGUCAGGAGUUCAUUUAGUUCGUUUCUGCAUACCCAGUUUAUGACUUUGCAACCUAGUGUUUUAAACCACAACCACAUAUAAUGUAUUUUUAGCUAUAUAACUAAUUUAUGUUUUAGUUAUUUUGAAUUCAAGAUACAGUCAAUGGACAAUCCAUGAUGUAAUUCACCUAAUGAUAAAAGAGUAUUUAGAGUGAUCCAUCUAACUGGACUGAUUAUAUUUGAUGUAGCAAACAAAGAUAUAUGGUUGAACACCAAAUACGUAUGUCUCCUAAAUUUUUUAUAAAACAGUUUCUAGUUUUUUAAUGUUUCGUCGUCUCGCUUAUCCGUUUAUGACUCUAUGUGCCUAUGUGUUAAUGGUAUGAUGAUACUAUAUAUAAUUAGAUAGAGAGUGAACCUAUCUUUUCUAAUAAGAUAAAUAGAUUAUAGAUAUGACUGUAAUUUAAUUGAUUAAAUUGCAUUUUAAUGUUACCAAAACGUUUACAAAGUAAGCUUUUCCUAAGGAAGUUUACAAAACUGGAACUUUGCCACAGUUAACUACUUAUACAAAAGAAGACUCAAACUCAAAGCAAAAUUCAAGGGGUGAUAUGGAAAUGCAAUAGUGUUCUUCCAUGGAAAUCAAAUGAUACGGUCCCUCAUGGUGCAAUGCAACCAAUGUUUGCUUUGAUUGAGGUAGUACUGAGCAGAAACCCCAAGCGUUGUAUAUAUAUAUUACAGCUCCUUCUCUAGUCAUCUUGUAACUGUAAGUGAGCACUUGGAGUAACAGCCUCGCAAUAGAACAAAGGUUGGCUAUGAGACUACAUCUUGUAACUGUAAGUGAGCACUUGGAGUAACUGUAAGUGAGCACUUGGAGUAACAGCCUCGUAACAGCCUGGUGGAUUUGGCCAGAGAUUUUCUCAUCCCAAAGAGAGAGAGAGAGAGAGUGGGUGAAUGCAUUACUCAACAAAGGUUGGCUAUGAGACUAUAUGCUCAGGAAAAUCAUAUAGAUUAACAAAAGAGUUUGAAACGAAGAAUAAAGACUUCAUAACAUACAGAUUCUAGAUCAAGCAUGGUCUAAGGAAAAAAAAAUACUGUGCAAUAGAUUGAAUGAUAAACAAACAACAAAAGAAUUUGUCUAAAACUACAUAUCAAUAUUUCCAAAAAAAAAAAAAUCCAAAAAAAUAAAAGAAUGUCUUCAAGAACCUA